UUAAGUCUGAUCUGCUCACUGAUUAAUUUUAAAGAGCCGCAGUAUUUUGACUGUGCAAAGGUAGCAUAAUCAAUAGUUUUUUAAUUGAAGGCUGGGAUGAAAGAUUGGAUGAUAAAUUUACUUUCUUAAUUUUAAAUGUUGAAUUUAAAAUUUAAGUUAAAAUUCUUAGAUUUAAUUGAAAGACGAGAAGACCCUAUAGAUUUUUAUUACUAAAUUGAUUUGUUAAAUUUAUUUUUUUUUGUAAUUUAAUUGGGGUGAUUUUGUAAUAUAUUUAACUUAAUUUUAAUAAACCAUAAAUGAUUGAAUUUUUUGUUCUAAAAUUUUUAAAUUAAAGAUUAAAUUACCUUAGGGAUAACAGCGUUAUAUUAUUUAAGAGUUCAUAUCUAUAAUAAUGUUUGCGACCUCGAUGUUGAAUUAAGAAAUAUAAUGGAGUAGAAAUUAUUAUUAAUUAGUCUGUUCGACUAUUAAAUUCUUAC
rnacentral:rRNA from 1 species